rnacentral:rRNA from 1 species
CAGUCGACGAACUUCCGUUAAUUGAUUAUGACGUACUUGUACUGAUUGAGAUUUUAACACGAAGUGAGUGGCGAACGGGUGAGUAACACGUGGGUAACCUGCCCAGAAGUAGGGGAUAACACCUGGAAACAGAUGCUAAUACCGUAUAACAGAGAAAACCGCAUGGUUUUCUUUUAAAAGAUGGCUCUGCUAUCACUUCUGGAUGGACCCGCGGCGUAUUAGCUAGUUGGUGAGGUAAAGGCUCACCAAGGCAGUGAUACGUAGCCGACCUGAGAGGGUAAUCGGCCACAUUGGGACUGAGACACGGCCCAGACUCCUACGGGAGGCAGCAGUAGGGAAUCUUCCACAAUGGACGCAAGUCUGAUGGAGCAACGCCGCGUGAGUGAAGAAGGGUUUCGGCUCGUAAAGCUCUGUUGUUAAAGAAGAACGUGGGUAAGAGUAACUGUUUACCCAGUGACGGUAUUUAACCAGAAAGCCACGGCUAACUACGUGCCAGCAGCCGCGGUAAUACGUAGGUGGCAAGCGUUAUCCGGAUUUAUUGGGCGUAAAGCGAGCGCAGGCGGUCUUUUAAGUCUAAUGUGAAAGCCUUCGGCUCAACCGAAGAAGUGCAUUGGAAACUGGGAGACUUGAGUGCAGAAGAGGACAGUGGAACUCCAUGUGUAGCGGUGAAAUGCGUAGAUAUAUGGAAGAACACCAGUGGCGAAGGCGGCUGUCUGGUCUGCAACUGACGCUGAGGCUCGAAAGCAUGGGUAGCGAACAGGAUUAGAUACCCUGGUAGUCCAUGCCGUAAACGAUGAUUACUAAGUGUUGGAGGGUUUCCGCCCUUCAGUGCUGCAGCUAACGCAUUAAGUAAUCCGCCUGGGGAGUACGACCGCAAGGUUGAAACUCAAAAGAAUUGACGGGGGCCCGCACAAGCGGUGGAGCAUGUGGUUUAAUUCGAAGCUACGCGAAGAACCUUACCAGGUCUUGACAUCUUCUGACAGUCUAAGAGAUUAGAGGUUCCCUUCGGGGACAGAAUGACAGGUGGUGCAUGGUUGUCGUCAGCUCGUGUCGUGAGAUGUUGGGUUAAGUCCCGCAACGAGCGCAACCCUUAUUACUAGUUGCCAGCAUUAAGUUGGGCACUCUAGUGAGACUGCCGGUGACAAACCGGAGGAAGGUGGGGACGACGUCAAAUCAUCAUGCCCCUUAUGACCUGGGCUACACACGUGCUACAAUGGAUGGUACAACGAGUCGCGAAACCGCGAGGUUAAGCUAAUCUCUUAAAACCAUUCUCAGUUCGGACUGUAGGCUGCAACUCGCCUACACGAAGUCGGAAUCGCUAGUAAUCGCGGAUCAGCAUGCCGCGGUGAAUACGUUCCCGGGCCUUGUACACACCGCCCGUCACACCAUGAGAGUUUGUAACACCCAAAGCCGGUGG